rnacentral:rRNA from 1 species
AUUGAACGCUGGCGGCAGGCCUAACACAUGCAAGUCGAACGAGUGGCGGACGGGUGAGUAAUGUCUGGGAAACUGCCCGAUGGAGGGGGAUAACUACUGGAAACGGUAGCUAAUACCGCAUACCCUCGGAUGUGCCCCGAUGGGAUUAGCUAGUCGGUGGGGUAACGGCUCACCUAGGCGCCGAUCCCUAGCUGGUCUGAGAGGAUGACCAGCGACACUGGAACUGAGACACGGUCCAGACUCCUACGGGAGGCAGCAGUGGGGAGUAGUGCACAAUGGGCGCAAGCCUGAUGCAGCCAUGCCGCGUGUAUGAAGAAGGCCUUCGGGUUGUAAAGUACUUUCAGCGAGGAGGCGUUACUCGCAGAAGAAGCACCGGCUAACUCCGGGCCAGCAGCCGCGGUAAUUC